GAAUAUCCUUAAAUUAACCUUUGGAUAUCACUUCUAUAAACCAACUAACAAAUGUUGUUUUGUUGGGUAGUUCAUUGUAAUCCUACACUAGGAUUUGCCUAAGAUAGAGCAAAUGAACGAGGGAUAGAACUCAAAGAAUGGGUUCUUUGAGAAACAAGAUAGUGAUCAACAAAUAUAACAACCUAGUUCCUAUACCACAAGCUCCAAGGUAGUCGAGAAGGAUUUAUAAACCGUCUCAGUUGAAUGGUUUGAACUUUAUGACUAUGUCAUAGAGAUACACCUCUUAAUUCAAAAGAAAUAAGAAUGAAAAUCCUUAUGACUACAUUGAGUGUAUAUACGAUAUAUACUCAAGGAAAUGGUAAAGUACCAUUUGACCCGAAAUAAUGAAACCCCCAUAGCUAAUUGGUAGCUUAAGGUGACUACAAUUAAAGAGAUUGGUUGACUUGGAAGAAACCAUCUUUAACGUAGUCAUGGUUUCAAUUAAUUCGAAGAUUGCUAGCUACAACUAAAUGGUGAUUAAAUGUUUGGACAUAAUAUGGGUUUCCGAAACCAUUAUUAAGAUAGUCUUGAUAAUAUAUGUCUAAAACUAUGAAUCACAAGACAUGUAAAUUGUAGAGAUCCAUCCAUCAUGAAUCUUAGCAAGCUAGUGGGAGCUAUAAGCGUCUUAUGAGAGAAAGAUCAAAUCGUUUGAUUUCUCAUAAAGAUGUUAAUGAAUCUUUUGUUUACUAGGUUUACAAAAGAUUAGUGGGAGUUAAUCAAAUUCCUAAAUUUGAAUAUAUAUAUAUAUAUAUAUAUGAUAUAUUAAUUUUGGAAAUGAAAAGAAUACUUCUUCGUUAAAGUUAUGACUUUAAAACAUUAU
rnacentral:lncRNA from 1 species